GCUGGAAUUGUAUGAUUGUGAAGACAUCGCGAACCUUAAAGGUUGAGAAGUGAACGGAUUAUACGGCGAACUGAGACGACGUGAAAAAGGGGAUUGGAAGCGGCAUUGAUGUGAGUACUAAGAGCCAGUCGAAAGUGCCCUGUAUAUUGACCUGGCGUUGUGUAGAUCUCUCCAGGAGGAGGAGGGCGGCCCUACCCCUAAUAUAGCGUGGUGGGAGAGCCGAAGGAAUACUUAUUGAAGUAGUCACAACGACGACAUCACUAGCUAGGCCGCAUAUUCCAUCGCCAGAUCCGAACCAAGCGAAGUGAAGGAAGACGGGUGUCCUUUUCGUACACUGAGUGUGGUGGGUGAGUCUUCGUGCUGUGAAAACCUAUAAUUUUGACGUGGUGUUGUAUAUUGCUGUGGGCUGCUGUGUAUUGCCGUGUGUCCUGUCAGAUAAACCCCCGCCUUCACGCACUUCGUCGCGGGAGGACAAGGAGACUGCUGGUCCUAGCCUAGUUCAGUACAGUAUAUGUUGUGAGCGUGCUUCAGAUCUCCGGAGAUAGCACGGUACGCUGUGUCCAGCCCAGAGGUGAAAGCCAUCCAAAGCAGAGUAACUGUGCUUUGUGUCCAAGUUGAUACCUGUGGAGAGGAAAGGAAAGAGAGAGUGAGUAACACAAGGAGAACCAGAGGGAACCUGUACUUACAGUACGCUGUGUUCAGCCCAGAGGUGAGAGCCAUUCAAAGCAAACUAACUGUGCUAUUGUGCCCAAGUUGAUACCUGUGGAGAGAAAAGGAGAGAGAGUGAAUAACACGAGGAGGAAUAGAGCGAACCCUGUACUUACAGUACGCUGUGUUCAGCCCAGAGGUGAGAGCCAUUCAAAGCAAACUAACUGUGCUAUUGUGCCUAAGUUGAUACCUGUGGAGAGAAAAGGAGAGAGAGUGGGUAACACGAGGAGAGACCGAGGAAACUUGUACUUACGCCGCUGCCUGUGGAGAAAGAGAAAGCGACCGUUGCCUGUGGAGGAAGAGAAAGAGAGUGAGCACCCCGAGAACGAACUGUGUGAACCAGUACUUACCGUGAGCUGUAUUCAGCGAAGAGGAGGAAGAAGGAGGGCGCUACGGAUACCUAAGACUCAGGCCGGGGCCCGAGUCCCACGCCCCGGAUCCCCGUGGCCCCCUUGCUCCCUGACCUCUUCCCGGCCAUAGCCCAUCUGGAGGGCCGAGUCAGAGUUUAGUUUUAAUUGCCCUUUCCCUAUUCCCCAAGCUAUUUUUAAAUAUUUAAAUAAAGAUUGUUUUAUCACUUACUUGUUCUCGUGU
ensembl:lncRNA